rnacentral:rRNA from 1 species
UACGUAGGGGGCGAGCGUUGUCCGGAAUUACUGGGCGUAAAGGGUGCGUAGGUGGUCUACUAAGUUGGAUGUGAAAUCCCCGGGCUUAACUUGGGGUGUGCAUCCAAUACUGGCGGACUAGAGUGCAGGAGAGGGAAGCGGAAUUCCUAGUGUAGCGGUGAAAUGCGUAGAUAUUAGGAGGAACACCAGUGGCGAAGGCGGCUUUCUGGACUGUAACUGACACUGAGGCACGAAAGCGUGGGGAG